GAGGUGAAAGCNCACGGCUCAACCGUGGAACNGCNUUUGAUACNGCANGGNUANGAGUUUGUGAGAGGAUAGNGGAAUUCNUGGUGUNGGAGUGAAAUCNGUAGAGAUCAGGAGGAACAUCAGUGGCGAAGGCGACUGUNUGGCACAACACNGACGUUGAGGUGCGAAAGCGUGGGUAUCAAACAGGAUUAGAUACCNUGGUAGUCCACGCNGUAAACGAUGAUUACUAGGUGCUGGGGGCUUGUCCUUNGGUGCCGUAGCUAACGCAUUAAGUAAUCCGCCUGGGGAGUACGGUCGCAAGGCUGAAACUCAAAGAAAUUGACGGGGNCCCGCACAAGCGGUGGAGUAUGUGGUUUAAUUCGAUGCAACGCGAGGAACCUUACCUAGGCUUGACAUCCAGGGAACCCUCCCGAAAAGGAGGGGUGCUCUUCGGAGAACCCUGAGACAGGUGCUGCAUGGCNGUCGUCAGCUCGUGCCGUGAGGUGUUGGGUUAAGUCCCGCAACGAGCGCAACCCCUAUUGUUAGUUGCCAGCAGGUGAAGCUGGNCACUCUAACGAGACUGCUGUGGUCAACACAGAGGAAGGUGGGGACGACGUCAAGUCAUCAUGGCCCUUACGCCUAGGGCUACACACGUACUACAAUGGCGCACACAAAGGGCUGCGAAACCGCGAGGUCAAGCCAAUCCCAAAAAAUGCGUCCCAGUCCGGACUGCAGUCUGCAACUNGACUGCACGAAGUCGGAAUCNCUAGUAAUCCUGGAUCAGCAUGCCAGGGUGAAUGCGUUCCCGGGCCUUGUACACACCGCCCGUAUCUUGCNAAAAA
rnacentral:rRNA from 1 species